GCCAGAUAAGGGAAGCAGGCCUCCGAAGCCAGCAGUGGCAACCCACUUGGGUCCCUUUCAAUGCUGUGGAAGCGUUGUUCUUUCACUCUUCUCAAUAAAUCUUGCUGCUGCUCACUCUUUGGGUCUGCCCCGCUGUUAUGAGCUGUAACACUCACAGCCAGUGUCUGCAGUUUCACUCCUGAAGCCAGCAAGACCACAAACCCACAGGGCGGGACAAACAACUCCGGACAGGAGGAAUGAACAACUCUGGACGCGCCACUUCUAUGAACUUUUAUGAACUGUAACACUCACCGCAAAGGUCUGCAGCUUCACCCCUGAGGCCAGGGAGACCACGAACCCACCGGAAGGAAUGAACAACUCCAGACGCACUGCCUUUAAGAGCUGUAACACUUACCACGGAUGUCUGCAGCUUCACUCCUGAAGUCAGCGAGACCACAAACCCAACAGAAGGAAGAAACUCCCGACACAUCUGAACAUCUGAAGGAACAAACUCUGGACACACCAUCUUUAAGAACUGUAACACUCACCGUGAGGGUCAACCGCUUCAUUCUUGAAGUCAGCCAGACCAAGAACCCACCAAUUCCGUCUAUCUGAAUCAUGUUAUUGGACCAUGAGAGCAAGCAGCUGGAUCUCAUUCUGUCCAGGCUGAAGUGGAGUGUCAUGAUCUUGGCUCAUUGCAGCCUCCUCCUCCCAAGUUCAAGCAAUUCUCCUGCCUCAGCCUCCCGAGUAGUUGGAAUUACAGGGUUUCAUCAUUUUUGGCCAUGCUGGCCUUGAACGCCUAACCUCAAAUGAUCCACCUGCCUUGGCCUCCUGAAGUUCUGGGAGUUAUAGGCAUGAGUCACCAUGCCUGGCACCACAUAAAAUUAUUUUGUCAUUAACAUUACAUUUUAAAAUACAAACGCUGUUUUCCAUAUUACUCAGGUCAGAUCUUUUACCCCACUUCUCUCAGUGAGAUUGCAUUAUUUAUUUCCAUCUCUAUAAUCUACUGUUCAUCCAUCUAUCUAUCCAUCCCUCAAUUUAGUUUUUUCACUACAUUCUGCAUUUGAUUCUUUUGAGGGUGUAUGCUUGUGUUUGUGCGUGGAAGUGGGGGUGUGUGUGUGUGUGUGUGUUCAAAAAGGUCUACAGUUUCCUUUUUCUGUAAUAUCUGUGUCUGCUGUUGGUAUUAGGGUAAUGCUGAACUCAUAGAGUAUGUGAAAAGUUUUCUACAUUCUUUGAUUUUUCUGAAAGAAAUUGUGCAGAAUUCAUAUUAUUUCUUUCUUAAAUGCUCAAGUGUUUAUUAAAAUUUACCAGUAAAA
rnacentral:lncRNA from 1 species